AACUUUCGACAAUGGAUCUCUUGGCUCUCGCACCGAUGAAGAACGCAGCGAAAUGCGAUAAGUAAUGUGAAUUGCAGAUUUUCAGUGAAUCAUCGAAUCUUUGAACGCACCUUGCGCUCCUUGGUAUUCCGAGGAGCAUGCCUGUUUGAGUGUCAUUAAAUUCUCAACUCCGAUCGAUUUGUUUCGACUUCGGAGCUUGGACAUGGAGCGUGCUGGCGUCGGUCGGCUCCUCUUAAAUGCAUCAGCGGAAUCUAACGUUUUGGAUGUCAGUGUGAUAAUCAUGUUGCGCUGUCCUCCGAUCCGAAAAGCCCGCUCACAAUGGUCUUCGGACGACUUCAUAUCAAAUUCGACCUCAAAUCAGGUAGGACUACCCGCUGAACUUAAGCAUAUCAAUAAGCGGAGGCU
rnacentral:misc_RNA from 1 species